rnacentral:tRNA from 1 species
CCUUCGAUGGCUCAGUUGGUAGAGCGGGGGACUGUAGAUCCCUAGGUCACUGGUUCAAAUUCGGUUCGAAGGA